UAUUGAGUUUUGUGUAUCCAA
ensembl:piRNA 21ur-3473 ncRNA